GGGGUUGUAGCUCAGUGGUAGAACACUUGCCUUGCAUGCAUAAGGCCCUGGGUUCAAUCCUCAGCACCA
rnacentral:tRNA from 1 species